UGGGGAAUAUUGGACAAUGGGCGAAAGCCUGAUCCAGCCAUGCCGCGUGUGUGAAGAAGGUCUUCGGAUUGUAAAGCACUUUAAGUUGGGAGGAAGGGCAGUAAGCGAAUACCUUGCUGUUUUGACGUUACCGACAGAAUAAGCACCGGCUAACUCUGUGCCAGCAGCCGCGGUAAUACAGAGGGUGCAAGCGUUAAUCGGAAUUCCUGGGCGUAAAGCGCGCGUAGGUGGUUCGUUAAGUUGAAUGUGAAAGCCCCGGGCUCAACCUGGGAAAUGCAUCCAAAACUGGCGAGCUAGAGUAGGGCAGAGGGUGGUGGAAUUUCCUGUGUAGCGGUGAAAUGCGUAGAUAUAGUAAGGAACGCCAGUGGCGAAGGCGACCACCUGGGCUCAUACUGACACUGAGGUGCGAAAGCGUGGGGAGCAAACAGG
rnacentral:rRNA from 1 species